AGGGAGAGAAGGAGAGAGGUAAAGAGGGAGAGAAGGAGAGAGGUAUUGGGAGAGAAGGAGAGAGGUAAAGAGGGAGAGAAGGAGAGAGGUAUUGGGAGAGAAGGAGAGAGUUAAAGAGGGAGAGAAGGAGAGGGGUAAAGAGGGAGAGAAGGAGAGAGGUAAAGAGGGAGAGAGGUAAAGAGGGAGAGAAGGAGAGGGGUAUUGGGAGAGAAGGAGAGAGGUAAAGAGGGAUAGAAGGAGAGAUUUAAAGAGGGAGAGAAGGAGAGAGGUAAAGAUGGAGAGGAGAGAGGUAAAGAGGGAGAGAAGGAGAGAGGUAAAGAGGGAGAGAAGGAGAAAGGUAAAGAGGGAGAGAAGGAGAGAGUUAAAGAGGGAGAGAAGGAGAGAGGUAAAGAGGGAGAGAAGGAGAGAGGUAUUGGGAGAGAAGGAGAGAGGUAAAGAGGGAGAGAAGGAGAGAGGGAUUGAGGGA
ensembl:lncRNA